GGCCGGUUGAGGGAGCCGGUGCUUCCCGCGGGCUGCAAACCCGUUGAGGAUACUGAGCAAGGAUCCUGGUCGGUUCGACUCCGAAUCCGGCC
rnacentral:tRNA from 1 species